UCCGGGUGGACGCCGAAUCCUGCCGACGCCCGGAUGUCUGACCACACACGGAGAUCGGCAGGAGCGGGGGACCCAAGAUAAGUGCCGGUCCGCGAACUGACUCUGAUGUGACGUCAGUGAAUCAGGAGCCGGCUCGGGGUGAAGCCACAUGAGUGGGUGUGGCCGGACUUCUUCGCCGUCCGAACCCGACAGCUCACCUCGCAGGCGGCUGACGAAGGUGCG
rnacentral:sRNA from 2 species